AAAAAUAUCACGAGAAACCAUUUUUUGUUGGAUAAUACUUAUCUAUUUAGAAAGAUAAGGUCUAUCUUUAAUUUUGUCUUUUCCUAAAGUCGGUUAGUUUUACCGUUUUGAAGUCUCUAUAAAUAGGAUCAUAUGAAGUGAAUAAUAAUUAUCUUUUACACUUCACAACUUCCUCUGUCACUACACUAUCUCUCUCGUAAUACAACAUAUAUAUAAUAAAACGUUCAAUCUCUCUCUCCCCUUUCGCUACCAAACACAAAUAAAUAAUAUACUCCCACUAUUGUAUUAU
rnacentral:lncRNA from 1 species